rnacentral:rRNA from 1 species
UACGUAGGGUGCGAGCGUUGCCCGGAUUUAUUGGGCGUAAAGGGCGCGUAGGCGGUCACGCACGUCCGUUGUGAAAUCGCUCGGCUCAACUGGGCGGGGUCAGCGGAUACGGCGUGGCUGGAGCAAGCUAGGGGGCAAUGGAAUUCCCGGUGUAGUGGUGGAAUGCGUAGAUAUCGGGAGGAACACCAGUGGCGAAGGCGACUACCUGGCCUGUUCUUGACGCUGAGGCGCGAAAG